rnacentral:ncRNA from 1 species
ACAGAGAUAAAUGUCGGUCUUAAUGAUCCGAUAAUUAUUUAGUAAUAAAAUUAUCGCUUAACGGAUAAAAGUUACUCUAGGGAUAACAGGCUAAUCUUUUCCGAGAGUCCAUAUUGACGAAAAGGUUUGGCACCUCGAUGUCGGCUUAUCGCAUCCUAAAGCAGUAGUAUGUUUUAAGGGUAAGUCUGUUCGCCUAUUAAAGCGAUACGUGAGCUGGGUUCAGAACGUCGUGAGACAGUUCGGGUCCAUAUUUCAUAUAAGUGUUAGAAUAUUGAAAUUAUUUUUUUUAGUACGAGAGGAUCAAAAAAAUUAUACCAAUGAUAUAUCAAUUAUAAAAUUUUUUUGUAAAGUUGAGUAGUUAAGUAUAAAAUUUUAAUUGUUGAAGUAAUAUAAAUAAGAAAAUUUAGUUAAAAAUAAUAUUCUAAUCAUAUAAAUGAAUAAAACAAUAAUUAGAAAAAUUAUUUUAUAGGAUUAGUAUGUAUUUAUAGUAAUAUAUUUAGUGUAUAAUUCCUAAUAAGUUGAA